rnacentral:rRNA from 1 species
UACAGAGGUCGCGAGCGUUAAUCGGAUUUACUGGGCGUAAAGCGUGUGUAGGUGGUUGUGCAAGUCGGUUGUGAAAUCCCCGGGCUCAACCUGGGAACUGCUUCCGAGACUGUGCGACUAGAGAUCGGUAGAGGGCGGUGGAAUUUCCGGUGUAGCGGUGAAAUGCGUAGAUAUCGGAAGGAACACCAAUGGCGAAGGCAGCCGCCUGGGCCUGUACUGACGCUGAGGAACGAAAGCGUGGGGAGCGAACAGG